rnacentral:tmRNA from 1 species
GGGGUCGUACUGGUUUUGACAGCAUAGGUUAUUGUUGGUGUAAGCAUGCAGUGCGUUGUGUAAUUAGCACUUCAAUCUGAAUACUCAAACUUCAAAUGGCAAUACUCAGUAUGCCAUGGCUGCUUAAUCAGUGAUUAAGUAACCAUUUGGGCCGCCGCACAGGUUCGCUUAUUUCCAUGUGCCGCCGCCGACUCAAAACAAAAUAAGAUGCUGCAAUAGAAGGCUGUGACUAUUGCUUAAGAUUAUCCAGCUAAGCGAUAGGUUGGUUUGUUCGUUCCCGGCCUUUCGUCUACAAUGAAUAUCGAAAUAAGCAUGUAGAAAGCUAAUGGUUACGAUGUUUGGACAGGGGUUCGACUCCCCUCGACUCCACAA